rnacentral:rRNA from 1 species
CUACGUGCCAGCAGCCGCGGUAAUACGUAGGUGGCAAGCGUUGUCCGGAAUUAUUGGGCGUAAAGCGCGCGCAGGCGGAUCAGUCAGUCUGUCUUAAAAGUUCGGGGCUUAACCCCGUGAUGGGAUGGAAACUGCUGAUCUAGAGUAUCGGAGAGGAAAGUGGAAUUCCUAGUGUAGCGGUGAAAUGCGUAGAUAUUAGGAAGAACACCAGUGGCGAAGGCGACUUUCUGGACGAAAACUGACGCUGAGGCGCGAAAGCCAGGGGAGCGAACGAGAUUAGAUACCCCGGUAGUCCUGGCCGUAAACGAUGGGUACUAGGUGUAGGAGGUAUCGACCCCUUCUGUGCCGGAGUUAACGCAAUAAGUACCCCGCCUGGGGAGUACGACCGCAAGGUUGAAACUCAAAGGAAUUGACGGGGGCCCGCACAAGCGGUGGAGUAUGUGGUUUAAUUCGACGCAACGCGAAGAACCUUACCAGGUCUUGACAU